rnacentral:lncRNA from 1 species
UACUUCUAUAAAGGCCAGGUCUCCAAAUACAGUCACACGGGGAGCUAGGGCUUCAACCUAUGGCUUUUGGGGGAUACAGUUCAGUCCAUAGCAGUGGGGAAAGGAUGUGACUCAGUCUAGAGAGACUCAAGGAGGGAAUGCUUAGAUAGGAGCAUGGAGGGCGUGCCUGGUGAAGGGAACAGUAUGGCACAGCUUCAGAGGCAAGGGUGAGCCAGCAGCAAGGGGCUGGCUAUGGCCGGUACAAAAAGCAUGUGCUCGUGGGAAAUAGGUUUUUCUCACUGUAAGAAGAGGACAAUAGCCUAUGAUCUACAGUGCCCAUUCCAACUCAGAGAAUCUUUACAUCUGGAGAUCUAUAGCAGGGCUAUCCCUAGUGACAUGCGUGAAGAAGCUUGGAAAUGGUGCUGGGUAGGAGCUGAGUGUGCAGAAUGUGGAAAGGCAUUCUAAACCAAAGGAAGAACACGAGUAAAGAUGAUGAAGCAGGGAUAAGGCUAAAAUGAAAUUUGUGAUCUGAUCCACAUACAAGCACAGUGUAGUACAGCUGGAAUAUAGAGAAGAGCUUGAAGACUUAUGAGCAACUAUCCCGGUACUCUUGGAGGCUCUGCAACCACAGUUUGAGAAACUCCGCGUUCAAAGUUAAAAACUGUCACCUGAAUAGUUAAUAACAUCAAAGAUUGUGAAAGCAAGUAUAAAUAACACAGAGAUUAAAAUAAUGAGGCAGGAUCAGAAACACUGACCUGCUGUGUAAGAAGUCCAACUGCCCUGAGGCCACCAGGCUGGAGAGACCAUGUAUGGAUAGGUUCUCUGAUCAACAGUUUCUAUCAAGCCCAGCCUUCUAGCCAUCAAGCCCAGCCUUCUAGCCAUGUCCACCAAUGUGCCUGACAUGUGAGUGAAGCCAUCACAGACCCUUCAGACCAGCCCACCUGCCAGCUGAAUACUUGUG